CCUACGGGAGGCAGCAGUGGGGAAUAUUGGACAAUGGGCGAAAGCCUGAUCCAGCAAUGCCGCGUGAGUGAUGAAGGCCUUAGGGUUGUAAAGCUCUUUUACCAGGGAUGAUAAUGACAGUACCUGGAGAAUAAGCUCCGGCUAACUCCGUGCCAGCAGCCGCGGUAAUACGGAGGGAGCUAGCGUUGUUCGGAAUUACUGGGCGUAAAGCGUACGUAGGCGGUUAUUCAAGUCAGAGGUGAAAGCCUGGAGCUCAACUCCAGAACUGCCUUUGAAACUAGAUAGCUAGAAUCUUGGAGAGGUGAGUGGAAUUCCGAGUGUAGAGGUGAAAUUCGUAGAUAUUCGGAAGAACACCAGUGGCGAAGGCGACUCACUGGACAAGUAUUGACGCUGAGGUACGAAAGCGUGGGGAGCAAACAGGAUUAGAUACCCUGGUAGUCCACGCCGUAAACGAUGAUAACUAGCUGUUCGGGCUCUACGAGCUUGUGUGGCGCAGACUACGACAUUAAGUUAUCCGUCCGUCGGGAGGUACGGUCGCGAGAAUAAACUAACGAAGAAGUUAGUACGGACGUGAGACGUGCCGACGGACGACGACGAGGGAGGAGG
rnacentral:rRNA from 1 species